GCGGGGAUAGCUCAGUUGGGAGAGCGUCAGACUGAAGAUCUGAAGGUCGCGUGUUCUCGAUCCACGCUCACCGCA